GUGCCAGCAGCCGCGGUAAUACGUAGGGUGCAAGCGUUAAUCGGAAUUACUGGGCGUAAAGCGUGCGCAGGCGGUUUGCUAAGACCGAUGUGAAAUCCCCGGGCUCAACCUGGGGAACUGCAUUGGUUGACUGGCAGGGCUAGAGUAUGGCAGAGGGGGGUAGAAUUCCACGUGUAGCAGUGAAAUUGCGUAGAGAUGUGGAGGAAUACCGAUGGCGAAGGCAGCCCCCUGGGCCAAUACUGACGCUCAUGCACGAAAGCGUGGGGAGCAAACAGGAUUAGAUACCCUGGGUAGUCC
rnacentral:rRNA from 1 species